rnacentral:rRNA from 1 species
ACGCUAGCUACAGGCUUAACACAUGCAAGUCGAGGGGAAACGACAUCGAGAGCUUGCUUUUGAUGGGCGUCGACCGGCGCACGGGUGAGUAACGCGUAUCCAACCUGCCCACCACUUGGGGAUAACCUUGCGAAAGUAAGACUAAUACCCAAUGACAUCCCACGAAGACAUCUGAAUGGGAUUAAAGAUUUAUCGGUGAUGGAUGGGGAUGCGUCUGAUUAGCUUGUUGGCGGGGUAACGGCCCACCAAGGCGACGAUCAGUAGGGGUUCUGAGAGGAAGGUCCCCCACAUUGGAACUGAGACACGGUCCAAACUCCUACGGGAGGCAGCAGUGAGGAAUAUUGGUCAAUGGACGAGAGUCUGAACCAGCCAAGUAGCGUGCAGGAUGACGGCCCUAUGGGUUGUAAACUGCUUUUAUAAGGGAAUAAAGUGAGUCUCGUGAGACUUUUUGCAUGUACCUUAUGAAUAAGGACCGGCUAAUUCCGUGCCAGCAGCCGCGGUAAUACGGAAGGUCCGGGCGUUAUCCGGAUUUAUUGGGUUUAAAGGGAGCGUAGGCCGGAGAUUAAGCGUGUUGUGAAAUGUAGAUGCUCAACAUCUGCACUGCAGCGCGAACUGGUUUCCUUGAGUACGCACAAAGUGGGCGGAAUUCGUGGUGUAGCGGUGAAAUGCUUAGAUAUCACGAAGAACUCCGAUUGCGAAGGCAGCUCACUGGAGCGCAACUGACGCUGAAGCUCGAAAGUGCGGGUAUCGAACAGGAUUAGAUACCCUGGUAGUCCGCACGGUAAACGAUGGAUGCCCGCUGUUGGUCUGAAUAGGUCAGCGGCCAAGCGAAAGCAUUAAGCAUCCCACCUGGGGAGUACGCCGGCAACGGUG